UCCACACCAGCUCAGCGUGGCUCAAUACCGCACAAAUGUGCCUUAAAACCUGCCUUGAAACGUUCCUGUCCCGGAAAGUUCCUGCUUCCCCACUCCCAGCCUGCUCUCGUCCUCCAUCCUUCUACACUACAUGAGGUGACGACGUCAGCAGAGAGAACUGGACCAGCAGCCUUGACCAUCUGCCUUCUGUCUGGAUCCAGGCUGCCGAGCCUUGCAGAAUAGACGGUGAUGACUCACCUGCGCUCUGUGCCGGCCCCGCCCCAUCCAGAGCCCCACGGAGGCCUGAUCACAUCAUAUCACACACUGACUCCCUUACCUCAAAACCCAACAGGAAAAAUCAGAUUCCAUCAUUUGGAAUCUAUUUGGCUUGGAGCCAUGACAACAUUCCUUACUCAAGAUCUGAGUCGAAACAGGGCUGUAGCCCACAGGCUGAGGCUCUGUUCAGGGGAGCCUGAGAUGCAGGCAUCGACCUCCUCACCCUCUUGGAAUUAGGGCUAUAAGUUAUGACAAAAGAAAAGCUGGUACACCCAGUGGAGAACGUUCCACCCCUGCCGUGGAAACAGCACACCCUGGACUUUCUCCAGAGCCGUUUAGUUAAGCGGGAAUGCCAGCAUGCCACAGGCUCCCCCUGAAUCCUGGACAUCAUUUUCCCUUUAUUCUACCCGCAGACGGGGCUAAAAUAUCAACCUGAUCUUGGAUCUCUUGCUUAGAAAUAAGCACCAACUGCAGCCAUGGGUUUCGCUAACAGCCAGGUCAAGGACACCAAAACUUCCGACCCAGAACUCCCUGUCAGGUGAGCUACGCGAACUAUUCCUGUCAGGUCAGCUGGAUAAAAUCCCGUGGUCAUCUUCACAGCGGGGGCCUCCGAAUGACACCAAAGGCCCUCCAGCGAGAAAAACGACAUGUUGAAAUAGAAAACGUUCGACACUAAAGAGAACCACGUCAAACAUCCUGACUCAGUGUGACUAAUAAUUCUCAAGACCGCACUGCUGAAGGGACCUGACCGAUGUAAGAGUUUUAAAAAGAACUUAAAAUGGAUCGCCUUUCUGCUCCCCAAAACUUAAUCAGUUAUUCUUGGCUGCAAAUAAAACCGAUCCUGGUACUUACUUAAAGCUAUACUUCAUAAUCCAGUUAUUAUUCUUAAGGGAAAAUAUUAACACGUAAAAUCCUUCUUGGCUAUAUACCAUGUGGAAAAAAUAUAGGGCAACAGGAUUCUUCCACACACACACUCCCUCAUCCCUCCCCCCGUCCCCCAGCCCAAGCCUGCCAUUUCAUCUCUCUGCUUUACUGCCAUGCACAUCUGGAUCACAUAAAUUUCAAGUACAGUUUUCAAUAUUAGUACCGCUUAGGGUUACAAUACUUGACAAAUCUCGAAUGCCGGGACGUCAGAUCAAAUUAGCUUGACCAGCCACAGGAGCUGGGGGGUGAGAGGGAUGUACAAUUAGAGGACUGUAAUAAAUAAACAAGAGCUCGCAGCGGCCCUUUCUCUCUUGUUGAGCUGGCGCAGAGGUUUUGGAGGUGACCUAAGGAACUCUCAGAUCCAGGAUAAUGAUGACCCGCAGAUCCACACUUCCAUUCCUUACCAGAACAGUCUGAGCAAGUGAGCAAUGAGGCUCGGGGAGGCGGGUGGGGGAGUGGGGUCUGGUCAUCCGUCCCGAUUUCCACGGUCCAGCAUUUUGAGGACACAAGAUAUAUGAAAAGUAUUCUUCAGGAUAAAUCGAUGACGCUGGAUCUUUCAUUCUGCUCCAGUUUCAUACUGCUUGAUGGGGCUGGAACAGCUAGAUCGGGGCAGGCUCAGGAGGUGCUCACUUGGCUGAGAAUGUGUGUUUAAAGGUCCAAAUGAAACGACUUGAAUGAACAGCCCUAGUUAAUCCAGUGUCUCAUAAAGAGCAUCUUGGAAAUGCUCUUUAAAUAAAUACCUUUAUUACUCAAGUUCAAGCCUUACCCCCAUUGGGAGCAUCUCCUAGCAUAUCAUGACUCUGGUAUUUCAAGAGGGCCAUGGGUUGGUAAGACAUUGAGUAUUUUAAGAUCAAAUCUAAAAGUGACUGGCCACCAAAACAAAAUACUUUUUUGCCAAGUACUUUUAAUUCUACCAUUUUCUAAAUGUCUUAUUAAAAAUGAACAGAUUCUCCUUUCUUAAUGUUCACAUAAUCACUUGUUAUAAACUCUUUUAGGAUAAUUAGAUAUCUUCAGUGUUUUUAUUUAGCCCCUAGGGCUGGAAAAAAAAGCGUUCGUGUUCAUGGUAAAUUUGAUUUGGGCACUUCUGGGUUAAACAAUGUAAAGUUUGUUUCUUUGCUGCAGGACUUCUCAGAGCCUUGAAUAUGCAAAUGUGUGUUAUAAAAUGCCAAGAAGGAAAGACAGAGUAAUGCAUUUUCCAAACAUAUUUGGCCAUGGAACCUUUUCCCGUGGUGCAUUCACAUGAGCAGUGUUCUGAGAAUUACUCUGGGGAUUAGUUGAUACUGGGGUAAGUCCUCUACUCAGUAGUCAUCACCCCAAACUCACAGAUAAGGAAACUAAAGCUGUCCAGUGUGCUGGCUUCCGUUUUCAUGUAUUGAGGGAAUGGCUGAGUGUCACCAGCCCCUGUGGGCACAUGAUGGACAAAAUCAUAUCCUGUCUCUGACUCCUCACAGCACCCUGUAGGGUCUGAGCUUGUCAGGAACACAGCUUACUGCCUGCUAGGUCUCCCAAAUGUCUGACACCCUGGUGGCCCGGGCGCCUUCAUGAGAAAACUAAAUCACUGUACACACAAAGGUGUGUGUUGGCAUUUCCAAGCAGGAGAGUCAGCACCAACUUGGAGACAAGCGAUGAGCUCCAAGCCAGACCACCACCACAGUGAGGUUGGGAAGAUGCCCAAUGAUCCUGGCCACUACGGACACACAGUGGACUCCAAAGGUCACAGUGAACCUCUGGGGCGGUCUAAUGUCUGACACUGGCUUGUGUGUGAAAAGUACUUACAGAAGCGCAGUUCUAAGGGUAUAACUGUGGGAAGUGGGAAAGGAUGGCUUGUGCAUAGGUGUCCUGUGUUCUGACAGUCACCGGCGAAAACUAAACAGAAACCAGAAAUCAUCCUCAUACUUCAAAAUGAAACCUGAAAAAAUGCAGGAAUCACCUACUUAAUGUGGUAGAAUGAGGCCAUAUUUAUUUACUGAGGCAAUAUUUCACUCACCAGCAUCAGCACCGCCAUUUCCUGAAAGCUCACUACUGUCAUGGGCUUCGCAUGGGUUCUUUAAUUUAAUCCUUGCUACAACUCUAGGAGGAGUCUAUUCCACUCCAUUUUACAAAGAGGUAAUGAGGCCAGCGAAGUCAAAGGUCCACAGACAGGGGCAAAGUCAGAAUUUGAACCCAGUUCUAUCUGGUAUCAUAGGCUGAGCCUCCCCAUCCAUCCAUCCAACCAAUAUUUAGGAAUCCUUACUAAGUGGAGGUUAAAUGGAUCAGACAGGGAUUCUGCUCUCAAGAAGAAACAAGAGGUUAAGAUGAAAGGCCUGAGGCAGACAGAAGGCACUGGCAAACACUGAUAAAGAAAAUGCCUUCUAUAUCCAGUCACUAUUCCAAAUGCUUUUUUAUAAAUAAACUCAUUUGACCCUCAUGAAGAACCUAUGGGGUAGGUACUAUUAUCCCCAUUGUACAGAUGAGAACACUGAGUCACAAGAUGGUUAAGAACCUGCCCAAGGUCACACAAACAGAAAGGAUGGAGCCGGGAUGGGACCCUGGCACAUGGAGGCUUGAUCACUGUACUACUCAGCAUGGCAAAGGAAGGCCAUGGGUGAGCCUGGAGCUGAGACAGUGAGGCCAGGCCAAGCUCCUGGGUAGUGGCUCUGCUGCCUGCCUGCUGGGCUGUGGCAUCCAGGUCAGAGAGAAGACCAUCACAGGGCCCUCCCUGUGCCAGGUCAGAAUGCCCUCCUCAAGCCUUCAGCAAGCCGGCGCCUUCCUAGCUCCAACAGCUGCCCCAGGGUCGGUGGGUCAGUAGGUCGGUCUGUCUGUCUGUCGGUCUGUCUCUCUCUCCCCGCCUGGUCAGAAAGGCACAGCUCAAUAAUCUGUUGGCAGUGAAUGUUUUCCUAGCUGAGGUCUGGGAGGCGGGAUGGCUGUCCCAAGCCUUCUGACCUCAGGGCCCCUAUUACUAACCUAACAGUCAUGUCUAGUGGGAUCUGCCCACAGACAAUGAUCCACAAACCCUUAAGGACUACACGAAGCCCUCAAUAAAAAUGGGCGAUUUAAGCACUUACUAUCCAGCCGGCUACUAAGGGAACACUUUCUAUGUCAUUACUUCUAAUCCUUACAACCGCCCUAUUUUAUAAAUGAGGACCCUUAGGCUCAGAGAAGUUAAGUAACUUACCCAAGGGUGACCCAGUAAUUGGAGGAGGCAGAAUGCUAACUGAAGGGCUUGGUGGACUCGUAAUUCCUGGGUGCUCUCCCCACACCGUACUGCUUUUCCUGAGACACACAUAUAACUAACUAUAGCAUAACAAAGAAAAUGGGAAAGGCCCUAGCUGGGACACAGAUAAAGCAACACUGGAGAGGUUGUUCCUAGCCAGGAGGAGGUGGUGGCAUUUAAGUGGCUGUAGCUGCCUUUCAUGGGGGAACAUACUGGGCUGAGCAGCUACGUUCCCCAGGAAUGAGAACCUCCACCCAAAACCACAGUCGCGGCAAUAGCGUGACACCCAGCAGACGCUCUCCCAGACCAGGAGUAUGCACCAAGCUUCCGACAUCCUUUCCGUGUACAUCUGGCAGGAGCUCUCCAAUACCUGCUCCCCGAGACAGCUGAUCCUGGCUCUGCCCUGGCUGCCUCGCAAAUCCUCACCUGCCCCUUGCUGUUGAGGCCACUCCCCUCUUGGAUGCUGGCUCCCAGCUCCGCCCUGGCUAGAAACCACCUCUAGUUCCCCUUUUAGCACAGCUGCCCACACCCAAGCCUCGGAUCUCUUCUGACUCCUGCCGAAAUCCAGGGUGUGGCCCCUAUACAUACAUACAGCGUCAUGCUUCCCACUCACAAGAGUCUCUGUACCUCCCCUGGGCCCUUCUGUAGAGAUGAUCCUGUAACUAUCACCGAAGCUUUGCCAACCAGGCUUUGGAAUUCUAGCACAGCCUUCUGUGGCUGCCUACCAGGCGGGCCACUGAGCUGCAGAACCCAAAUAAUUUGUUUUCUUCAGAAAGCCCAGAUGAUUCCUCAGAGCCAUUUGCCACAAUGAAGCUGCAUCACCUCGUUCCAGCAUAUUGAUGGCUUAUCACCUGAAGCUGCCAUUAACAGACACAAAGCUACAUCCCAGGACGGAGUCAAAACUCAGAGUCAACCUUCUUGUUUUUGGAAGGUUGUCUUUUUAUAUGUAUUUGAAAAGUUAUUCUAAAUAAAUCAUUAAGACCAUGUGCAAAAGUGUUCUACAGAUUAAGUUCAUGGCAAUGCCAAUAUAACAGAAAGCACUGUAAACCAAAAUGCCCCAAAACAGGUGACAAAUUACAUAAAUUCAUUAUACAGAACAGCUCAUAUAAUGCAAUACUUUGUAAGGCAUUAAAAAUGAAUAUGUAGAAGAGCUCUAUUUACUGACUUGGAAAGAUACUGAUAGUAUAUUGAACGGAAAGGAGGUUAUGAAACAGUGUGGAAAGUAACAAAAAUCUCUGUAUGUGAAACGAAACCAAAAUCUCUAUAUAUGAAUCAACAACUUGAAGAUAUAAUCUCCAAACAGUGAGAUUAUAGAUGAUUUUAGCUCCUUUUUUGACGACACACAUUUUAAACUUGUGUCUACAUUAAACAUAUUAGUUGUACAAUAAAAGUUAUAAAAAAGUUUUCUUUUGAUUCAAGAAGCAAGCAGUGUAUGUCCAUUUAGCAACUGUAAAAAUAUACGCUGAGAAAAAAAAUACCGUCCUAUAAAUCCAAGCUUCAAAAUUUCAAAUUUAACAAAAGACAGGUAGCAGUAAUUUAGGGCAUGGAUCAAGACAGAAAAAUCAUCACUAAGUACCAGUCAACCUAGAGGGUACCAUCCAAGGUGGCCCUAGAGGACACUGUUUUUUAGGUGGUCUUGCAACACCAAAACAUUUCCUCCAGAAUAAGGAGAAGCUGCUGCUAAGAAACUUAGCCCCAGGGGCCUAAGACCCACACUGGGUUCCUUAGCCUCAGCAAACAUGCUUCCAACCGGUUUUCUUGUCUCCUUAACAAGGUCCUCCCCAGGCCAGAAGGGAGAACUCUUCACCAGCCCAUUUGAUGGAAGUUGCUGAGUUCUCUUACUUCUUGGCAAAUCCAAAGGAGGGUUUCCCUACCAGAUUUAGGUCCUGGUACAGAGUUUCUCAAACUGCACUGUACACAUGAUCCCUGCGAUCUUAUCACAACGCAGACUCUGAUUCAGGAGGUCUGGGGUGGGGCCUGAGAUUCUGCAUUUCUAACAAGCUCCCAGGUGAUGCUGCAGCUGGUCCAGAGACCACACUUGGAGCAGUAAAGCCCUCCCCAUGAUUCUCAGAUAGGAGAGCCUGGCUCAGCCCAGGGAUGCCGAGGCUAAAUGAGACAAUGGGCCGAACCACGCCACCCAAGAGGGCAGAAACGUCCUGGCUUUUGUUACACUCUCACCUUCUCAGGCUACCAGUGAUCCAUUAGCAAACAGAACCCUGAAGGACCUUGAUGAUUUAAUGUUCCUAUCAAAAUGGGCCAUUUAACCACAGUUACCAGAGGGAGCAGCCCCGAUGCCUGGGGUGCCUUCCAGGAACUCUGUGUAUAACCAGAAACACCCUUGGGUGCCUG